GACGAACGCUGGCGGCGUGCUUAACACAUGCCAGUCGAACGGAAAGGCUCCAGCUUGCUGGAGUACUCGAGUGGCGAACGGGUGAGUAACACGUGGGGAAUCCGCCCUGCACUCUGGGAUAAGCCUGCGAAACUGGGUCUAAUACUGGAUAUGACCUUUCUCCUUAUGGGGUUUGGUGGAAAGAUUUUCGGUGUAUGAUGGGUCCGCGGCCUAUCAGCUCGCUGGUGGGGUUAUGGCCGACCAAGGCGACGCCGGGUAGCCGGCCUGAGAGGGUGAUCGGGCUCAUGGCGACUGAGGUACGGACCAGAAUCCAAUGGGAGGCAGUGGUGGGAAAUAUUGCAGAAUGGGGGGGAGUCAGUGGCGGAGGCGCCGCGUGCGUGAUGACCGCCUUCGGGUUAUAAACAUCUUUGAGCGGAAAUGAAGCGUAAGUGACGGUACCUGAAGAAGAAGCAACGGCUAACUAUGUG
rnacentral:rRNA from 1 species